AUUCCAGCUCCAAUAGCGUAUAUUAAAGUUGUUGCAGUUAAAAAGCUCGUAGUUGGAGUUCAGGGUGAGCUCAGCCGGUCGGCGUCAUGCGUCAGAACUGGUCGACUCUCCCUUGUUUGUGGAUCCCGCCCGGAGUUAACUCUUCGGGAUGUGGAGUUCACAUCGUUUACCUUGAAAAAAUUAGAGUGUUCAAAGCAGGCGUUUGCUUGAAUAUAUUAGCAUGGAAUAAUGGAAUAGGACCCUGGUUCUAUUUUGUUGGUUUUGAGAACCAGAGUAAUGAUUAAUAGGGAUAGUUGGGGGCAUUCAUAUUUCAUUGUCAGAGGUGAAAUUCUUGGAUUUAUGAAAGAUGAACUUCUGCGAAAGCAUUUGCCAAGGAUGUUUUCAUCG
rnacentral:rRNA from 1 species